rnacentral:rRNA from 1 species
UACAGAGGUGGCAAGCGUUGUUCGGAAUUACUGGGCGUAAAGGGCGCGUAGGCGGUUCGUUAAGUCCUGUGUGAAAUCCCCCGGCUCAACUGGGGAACUGCACAGGAAACUAGCGGGCUUGAGUUCGGGAGAAGGAAGCGGAAUUCCGGGUGUAGCGGUGAAAUGCGUAGAUAUCCGGAGGAACACCGGUGGCGAAGGCGGCUUCCUGGACCGACACUGACGCUGAGGCGCGAAAGCUAGGGGAGCAAACGGG